rnacentral:rRNA from 1 species
CCUACGGGAGGCAGCAGUGGGGAAUAUUGGACAAUGGGCGAAAGCCUGAUCCAGCAACGCCGCGUGAGGGAUGACGGCCUUCGGGUUGUAAACCUCUUUCAGCAGGGACGAAGCGAAAGUGACGGUACCUGCAGAAGAAGGACCGGCCAACUACGUGCCAGCAGCCGCGGUAAUACGUAGGGUCCGAGCGUUGUCCGGAAUUAUUGGGCGUAAAGGGCUCGUAGGCGGUUUGUCACGUCGGGAGUGAAAACUCAGGGCUCAACCCUGAGCGUGCUUCCGAUACGGGCAGACUAGAGGUAUUCAGGGGAGAACGGAAUUCCUGGUGUAGCGGUGGAAUGCGCAGAUAUCAGGAGGAACACCGGUGGCGAAGGCGGUUCUCUGGGAAUUACCUGACGCUGAGGAGCGAAAGCAUGGGGAGCGAACAGGAUUAGAUACCCUGGUAGUCCAUGCGUAACGUAGGUCGCGUAGUGUGGGUACGUCCGUACGGUCGUCCGUCGCGCAGCUACGACAUAGCGCCCGCCGUCGGGUAGGUACGGCCGCGACGGACGUAAACCUACAAACGAAGUAGACGGCGUGAGACGUGCCGAACGGACGACGACGAGGGAGGUAGG